rnacentral:rRNA from 1 species
GACGAACGCUGGCGGCGUGCUUAACACAUGCAAGUCGAGCGGUAAGGCCCUUUCGGGGGGUACACGAGCGGCGAACGGGUGAGUAACACGUGGGUGACCUGCCCUCAGCUCUGGGAUAAGCCUGGGAAACCGGGUCUAAUACUGGAUAUGACUCCAUGACGCAUGUUGUGGGGGUGGAAAGCCUUGUGCGGCUGAGGAUGGGCCCGCGGCCUAUCAGCUUGUUGGUGGGGUGAUGGCCUACCAAGGCGACGACGGGUAGCCGGCCUGAGAGGGCGACCGGCCACACUGGGACUGAGACACGGCCCAGACUCCUACGGGAGGCAGCAGUGGGGAAUCUUGCGCAAUGGGCGAAAGCCUGACGCAGCGACGCCGCGUGAGGGAUGACGGCCU